CCUACGGGGGGCAGCAGUGGGGGAUAUUGCACAAUGGGGGGAACCCUGAUGCAGCGACGCCGCGUGGGUGAAGAAGCGCCUCGGCGCGUAAAGCCCUGUCAGCAGGGAAGAAAAUGACGGUACCUGAAGAAGAAGCCCCGGCUAACUACGUGCCAGCAGCCGCGGGAAUACGUAGGGGGCAAGCGUUAUCCGGAUUUACUGGGUGUAAAGGGGGCGCAGGCGGCGAUGCAAGCCAGGAGUGAAAGCCCGGGGCCCAACCCCGGGACUGCUCUUGGAACUGCGUGGCUGGAGUGCAGGAGGGGCAGGCGGAAUGCCUGGUGUAGCGGUGAAAUGCGUAGAGAUCAGGAGGAACACCGGUGGCGAAGGCGGCCUGCUGAACUGCAACUGACGUUGAGGCUCGAAAGCGUGGGGAGCAAACAGGAUUAGAUACCCUUGUAGUC
rnacentral:rRNA from 1 species